CGUCUGGGCCCACUGGAACGGUGGCUAAUACCGGAUGUGCCGGAAGGUGAAAGGCUUGCUGCCUGAAGAUGAGCUCGCGUCCGAUUAGCUAGUAGGUGGGGUAAGAGCCUACCUAGGCGACGAUCGGUAGCUGGUCUGAGAGGAUGACCAGCCACACUGGGACUGAAACACGGCCCAGACUCCUACGGGAGGCAGCAGUGGGAAAUUUUCCGCAAUGGGCGAAAGCCUGACGGAGCAAUACCGCGUGAGGGAGGAAGGCUCUUGGGUUGUAAACCUCUUUUCUCAGGGAAGAACACAAUGACGGUACCUGAGGAAUCAGCAUCGGCUAACUCCGUGCCAGCAGCCGCGGUAAUACGGAGGAUGC
rnacentral:rRNA from 1 species